AAAUUGAAGAGUUUGAUCAUGGCUCAGAUUGAACGCUGGCGGCAGGCCUAACACAUGCAAGUCGAGCGGUAGCACAGAGAGCUUGCUCUCGGGUGACGAGCGGCGGACGGGUGAGUAAUGUCUGGGAAACUGCCUGAUGGAGGGGAUAACUACUGGAAACGGUAGCUAAUACCGCAUAAUGUCGCAAGACCAAAGUGGGGGACCUUCGGGCCUCAUGCCAUCAGAUGUGCCCAGAUGGGAUUAGCUAGUAGGUGGGGUAACGGCUCACCUAGGCGACGAUCCUAGCUGGUCUGAGAGGAUGACCAGCCACACUGGAACUGAGACACGGUCCAGACUCCUACGGGAGGCAGCAGUGGGGAAUAUUGCACAAUGGGCGCAAGCCUGAUGCAGCCAUGCCGCGUGUGUGAAGAAGGCCUUCGGGUUGUAAAGCACUUUCAGCGGGGAGGAAGGCGUUAAGGUUAAUAACCUUGGCGAUUGACGUUACCCGCAGAAGAAGCACCGGCUAACUCCGUGCCAGCAGCCGCGGUAAUACGGAGGGUGCAAGCGUUAAUCGGAAUUACUGGGCGUAAAGCGCACGCAGGCGGUCUGUCAAGUCGGAUGUGAAAUCCCCGGGCUCAACCUGGGAACUGCAUUCGAAACUGGCAGGCUAGAGUCUUGUAGAGGGGGUAGAAUUCCGGUGUAGCGGUGAAAUGCGUAGAGAUCUGGAGGAAUACCGGUGGCGAAGGCGGCCCCUGGACAAAGACUGACGCUCAGGUGCGAAAGCGUGGGAGCAAACAGGAUUAGAUACCCUGGUAGUCCACGCCGUAAACGAUGUCGAUUUGGAGGUUGUGCCCUUGAGGCGUGGCUUCCGGAGCUAACGCGUUAAAUCGACCGCCUGGGAGUACGGCCGCAAGGUUAAAACUCAAAUGAAUUGACGGGGCCCGCACAAGCGGUGGAGCAUGUGGUUUAAUUCGAUGCAACGCGAAGAACCUUACCUGGUCUUGACAUCCACAGAACUUUCCAGAGAUGGAUUGGUGCCUUCGGGAACUGUGAGACAGGUGCUGCAUGGCUGUCGUCAGCUCGUGUUGUGAAAUGUUGGGUUAAGUCCCGCAACGAGCGCAACCCUUAUCCUUUGUUGCCAGCGGUCCGGCCGGGAACUCAAAGGAGACUGCCAGUGAUAAACUGGAGGAAGGUGGGGAUGACGUCAAGUCAUCAUGGCCCUUACGACCAGGGCUACACACGUGCUACAAUGGCAUAUACAAAGAGAAGCGACCUCGCGAGCAAGCGGACCUCAUAAAGUAUGUCGUAGUCCGGAUUGGAGUCUGCAACUCGACUCCAUGAAGUCGGAAUCGCUAGUAAUCGUAGAUCAGAAUGCUACGGUGAAUACGUUCCCGGGCCUUGUACACACCGCCCGUCACACCAUGGGAGUGGGUUGCAAAGAAGUAGGUAGCUUAACCUUCGGGAGGGCGCUUACCACUUUGUGAUUCAUGACUGGGGUGAAGUCGUAACAAGGUAACCGUAGGGGAACCUGCGGUUGGAUCACCUCCUUA
rnacentral:rRNA from 1 species